CCUACGGGGUGCAGCAGUCGAGAAUCAUUCACAAUGGGGGAAACCCUGAUGGUGCGACGCCGCGUGGGGGAAUGAAGGUCUUCGGAUUGUAAACCCCUGUCAUGUGGGAGCAAAUUAAAAAGAUAGUACCACAAGAGGAAGAGACGGCUAACUCUGUGCCAGCAGCCGCGGUAAUACAGAGGUCUCAAGCGUUGUUCGGAAUCACUGGGCGGAAGGCGUGCGUAGGCUGUUUCGUAAGUCGGGUGUGAAAGGCGUGGGCUCAACCCGCGGACGGCACAUGAUACUGCGAGACUGGAGUAAUGGAGGGGGAACCGGAAUUCUCGGUGUAGCAGUGAAAUGCGUAGAUAUCGAGAGGAACACUCGUGGCGAAGGCGGGUUCCUGGACAUUAACUGACGCUGAGGCACGAAGGCCAGGGGAGCGAAAGGGAUUAGAUACCCUUGUAGUC
rnacentral:rRNA from 1 species